CUGCUGAGUGAUCUCUGUUCUCUCAGGAGGACAAAAAUAUGACACAAAUCCAGGAAUAUGACACUUUUUUAUUAUAUAUUAUUUAUUUUUCGAUAACUUUUGUUUAUGUAAAACCAUUUACAUGAAAAUUAAAGAAAAGACAUGGAAUCUUAGCAUUUUGUUUUAUUAAAAAAUCGAUUGUUCCCACAGUAAAGGGAUAUGACAACGUUUCCCCUUAUGGGUACUCUAAUCAGCCGAGCAAACCCAUUCAGAUUAUUUCAUUGCUAGGUUCAAAUGAAGGCACCUACAGUUAUUUAUGUUAUUGCCAUGACUAGGUAUCUCAAAUGCUGACCUUUUAAACAAUACUGUAUUUCGAACUUUCCCAGUUACUUAAUGGGUUUUCAUCAUCUGUGAUGGAACGUGAAAACCUAUGGUUUACAUGAAAGCACUCGCGUGGAGAUCGAAGAGCAGACGCCCCCUGUGGAAUCUUAGCGAUCUUUCUUAUCAAAGACCGGGCUGGCCACCCAGCCAGCCACGGGAUACGGCGUGCUCGACCCUUGUGGGUUCCCUCAUCCACCCAGCAAGCCCUUUGGAGCCUACGGCUGAGCCGGCUCCAGCCGCGCGCAGCGUCCGUCAUUUCGGAAAGAAAGCGACGUGGCUCUACGUUUCAAAUGCUGAACUUCCCACGUGGGUGGCAGUGGCCAGCCUCCCGGGUCCUCGAUCGUGCUGUACGCGAUCGCGGGGGCGUUCGCCGGCGGAGUGGGGAAGUGCUGGUCUGUCCACGUGCGGUGGCCCGCCUACGCGGGCGGGACCACCAGAAGUCACUCCCGAGGAAGACGCGGCCAGGAUCUGGAUUUCGCGCGGGCGAGUUCACUCUUGUCCCUGGAGACCUGACGAGAAGGAAGGCCGUGCCGGAGGUCAUUCUUCCAUCCCGUCCCCUCGGGCCUGCUGCGGGCAUUCCGGUAUCGGUGAGCCGCGUGUUCUGAAGUGUGACUCAGUUUCCUCGGGGCACCAUGAGCGCCUAGUGACAGGGAGAGCCCGGCGAUGCCGGCCGGCCGCGAGGCUGGCGCCUGCCUGUGGUGCCGCUCUCCAUGCUGGAGCGCCGUGGGUGGGCUCUCCCCGGGGUGACGGAAAGCUGAGUUGAGCGGUGUGUGCCCCCUGUCUGGGGCUCAGGGCCCCCUGGCGAAAAUGUGCCUGGUUCGAAGGUGACUUAACAAGGCGCAGUGGAUGUCCUUGGAGCGUGAACAUACUGGGUGAGGGCGCCACGUCUUUGGGCUGAGGUCCAGCAACGGGACCAUGCCUGGCACACACACCGGAGGCCGUUGAGUGGGCCCGGUGGCAGUAACGCCAGGGACUAGGCUUGGGGGUACGUUAUCUGAAAGCUACAUGGUUGCAUCGACCAGGGGGGAGUGACUGGUGCAUGCGUGUUCUCUGAAUGUCAACGUGUGGGGUACAGUGGAAGCUCUCUGAGCGUUUGGGUGGCAGGAGUGCCUACGAUCCCCGUGUCCCUUGCGGUUUGGGCGUCACCGAACGCCACGGCGGGGCCUCCGUGGUGAACAGGGCCAGCACGUCUUUGUCCCGUGCACGGGAUGGUUGACGGGGAAGGAGGAUCCCGGUAGCGCCCUGGGGUAGUG
ensembl:lincRNA